GCGAACGGGUGAGUAACACGUGAGUAACCUGCCCUGGACUCUGGGAUAACCCCGAGAAAUCGGAGCUAAUACCGGAUAGGACCUGGAACCGCAUGGUUUUGGGUGGAAAGUUUUUCGGUCUGGGAUGGACUCGCGGCCUAUCAGCUUGUUGGUGAGGUAAUGGCUCACCAAGGCGUCGACGGGUAGCCGGCCUGAGAGGGUGACCGGCCACACUGGGACUGAGACACGGCCCAGACUCCUACGGGAGGCAGCAGUGGGGAAUAUUGCACAAUGGGCGCAAGCCUGAUGCAGCAACGCCGCGUGAGGGAUGACGGCCUUCGGGUUGUAAACCUCUUUUAGUAGGGAAGAAGGGCUUCGGCUUGACGGUACCUGCAGAAAAAGCACCGGCUAACUACGUGCCAGCAGCCGCGGUAAUACGUAGGGUGCGAGCGUUGUCCGGAAUUAUUGGGCGUAAAGAGCUCGUAGGCGGUUUGUCACGUCUGCUGUGAAAUCCCGAGGCUCAACCUCGGGCCUGCAGUGGGUACGGGCAGACUGGAGUGCGGUAGGGGAGAAUGGAAUUCCUGGUGUAGCGGUGGAAUGCGCAGAUAUCAGGAGGAACACCGAUGGCGAAGGCAGUUCUCUGGGCCGUAACUGACGCUGAGGAGCGAAAGCGUGGGGAGCGAACAGGAUUAGAUACCCUGGUAGUCCACGCCGUAAACGUUGGGCGCUAGAUGUGGGGACCUUUCCACGGUUUCCGUGUCGUAGCUAACGCAUUAAGCGCCCCGCCUGGGGAGUACGGCCGCAAGGCUAAAACUCAAAGGAAUUGACGGGGGCCCGCACAAGCGGCGGAGCAUGCGGAUUAAUUCGAUGCAACGCGAAGAACCUUACCAAGGCUUGACAUAACCGAGAACGCCGCAGAAAUGUGGAACUCUUUGGACACUCGGUUACAGGUGGUGCAUGGUUGUCGUCAGCUCGUGUCGUGAGAUGUUGGGUUAAGUCCCGCAACGAGCGCAACCCUCGUCGUAUGUUGCCAGCACGUAAUGGUGGGAACUCAUAUGAGACUGCCGGGGUCAACUCGGAGGAAGGUGGGGAUGACGUCAAAUCAUCAUGCCCCUUAUGUCUUGGGCUUCACGCAUGCUACAAUGGCCGGUACAAAGGGCUGCGAUGUCGUAAGGCGGAGCGAAUCCCAAAAAGCCGGUCUCAGUUCGGAUUGAGGUCUGCAACUCGACCUCAUGAAGUCGGAGUCGCUAGUAAUCGCAGAUCAGCAACGCUGCGGUGAAUACGUUCCCGGGCCUUGUACACACCGCCCGUCAAGUCAUGAAAGUCGG
rnacentral:rRNA from 1 species